UCAGCUGAGUGGGCUGGCCUGUGUGGGUGGGAUUUCCUGUGCUGGAGGUCAGCUGUUCUCAAUCCCUCUUUCUCACUCCCUUUCUCUCUGUCUCGUCCCUUCUUUCCCCCUCUCCCUGCCUUGACGGGUCCUCGCAUCUUUCUCUCUCUCCCUCCCUCCCCUCCCUCCCUGGUGCCUCUUGGGUUGGAAUACAUAGUGAUGUGUUAACUACAGGAUGCCCAGCAGCACUGGAAAGAGGUUUAAACCUACUAAAUACAUCCCUGUCUCCACAGCAGCUGCCUUAUUAGUGGGUUCGACUACUUUAUUUUUUGUUUUCACGUGCCCCUGGUUAACAAGAGCCAUCUCCCCAGCCAUCCCUGUGUACAAUGGGCUCGUGUUCUUGUUCGUACUUGCAAACUUCAGCAUGGCGACGUUCAUGGACCCUGGAGUUUUUCCACGAGCAGAUGAAGAUGAGGAUAAAGAUGAUGACUUCCGAGCUCCACUCUACAAGAAUGUGGAGAUUAAAGGAAUCCAAGUACGGAUGAAAUGGUGUGCCACCUGCCAUUUCUAUCGCCCGCCCCGCUGCUCCCAUUGCAGCGUCUGUGACAACUGCGUUGAGGACUUUGACCAUCACUGCCCAUGGGUCAACAAUUGCAUAGGACGGAGGAACUACCGAUAUUUUUUCCUCUUCUUGCUGUCCUUAAGCACACACAUGGUCGGAGUGUUCAGUUUUGGGCUGAUCUAUAUUUUAAACCAUAUGGAAAAGCUGGGGGCAGCUCACACCACCAUUACCAUGGCUGUCAUGUGUGUGACUGGAUUGUUCUUUAUCCCAGUCAUUGGUCUCACGGGUUUCCAUAUUGUUCUAGUGGCACGAGGGCGUACAACCAAUGAGCAGGUGACGGGUAAGUUCCGUGGGGGGGUGAAUCCUUUCACUCGAGGAUGCUGCCAUAACGUGGAACAUGUGCUCUGCAGCCCUUUGGCUCCCAGAUACAUUGUUGAGCCAAAGAAAAAGCAGGCUGUGAGUGUGAAGCCUCCUUUCUUCAGACCAGAUCUAUCCGAGCGACAGAUCACAGUGAAGAUAAGUGACAAUGGGAUCCAAGCCAAUCUUAACCGAAGCAAGUCUAAAGUUAGCCUGGAAGGUCUGGAGGAUAAAACCAUGGACAUCCAGCCACCUCUGCCUCCCAAAGGAGAUCCAAGCAAGUACUCUGAACUGAAGGGGCAGCUGGGAACCAGUGAAGAGAGUGGUCUUUCACCUAAAUUGAUAAGUCCCCCAACUCCUGCCAUGUAUAAGUAUCGACCAGCUUUCAGCAACAAUUCCAAAGUCCACUACCAUGCUGCAGCUGAGCAGAUCACCAUGCAGGAGGGACACAAGCAAGGAGUUUUGAUUGAAGAUAAUAACCAGAGUCUUGAUUAUCAAUCGGAGCCCAACCUGGACAUCUCGAACUACAGGAAGAGCUCGCUUCACAAGACUUAUCAGUCCUCCCCACUCCAGAUAGACUCCUUCGCCGUCAAUUCGCGAUCCCUGAGCUUGAAGUCUGCCAACAGGAGAGGGACAGACAAAGUGCCACUGCAUCCAAUAAAAUCAGAAGGGGCUGCUUCCACCCCCUACAAAAGCAUCUUUUCCCCCAACUCCCUGUCAAACAGAAAUGGAAGUCUGUCUUAUGACAGUUUGCUAAACUCCAUGUCCCCCUCCGGGAGGAAAUGCAUAGCCCAUUCUGCUGUUGGCUCCGUGGGGUACCAUUCGCCAUAUUUGUCAGCCAAAAUGUGCCACCUGCGGGGGAGCGAGCUGCAGCGCCAGGCUCCACAGAAUUUCAGCCCGGUGCUGGGGGGGCAAGAGUCGCACCAGCGGGACCCCUCUCCUGUCCGUUAUGACAACCUUUCAAAAACCAUCAUGGCAUCCAUCCAGGAGAGGAAAGAAAUGGAAGAGAGGGAGAAGCUCCUCCUCUCACACCCGGAUUCGGUGUUUGCAGACUCGGGUGUGUAUGACACCCCUAGCUCUUACAGCCUUCAACAAGUCAGCGCGCUGUCUGAAGACCCUCGCAGCAUGGUGAUGAGAUAUGGCUCCAGAGACAAUUUGAUGACUGCGACCAGUUUUAGCACAAGGAACCCUAUACUGCAGUCCUCGGUGUCUUCCCUCUCAAGUGCAAUGGCCAGGGCACCAAGGACUUCCACAACUUCCCUUCAAGCCGAUCUAGCCAAUAACAAUGUCCAGUCCCAUCAGGCACUACAAGGCAGGGUGAGCAAUGGCUCCUACAAGUCACCAGGCCAUCAGGUCCCAUCAUCCCCUACAGGGAUGCCUAGGUCACCCUCUUAUGGAGGUCCGAAGGCUGUCUCAUUUGUUAACACUGUGGAAAUAACGGAGGUGCAAUCUGUGGGAGCACAAAGGGAGGACAUGCAGUUGAAGACACCUCACAGUAAAAUAAAUGGACAGCCAAAAGGAAUUUCCAGGGCAGAUUGUCGACUGGGUUCAACGUCAAGUUCCCAGGGGGCCCCGGUCAGUCCUGCUAGACACUCAAACGUUAAGAAGGUGUCUGGUGUUGGUGGAACAACCUAUGAAAUUUCAGUGUAAAAUAAAAAUUAAGAUAAAGAGCCAUCCAUUAAGGCAGCCAUGAAGCUAGGUGCACUGUGAAGACUCAAACAACAUCAACCACAAAAGGAGCAGCAGCUGCCAGUGUCCUUUUUGGGUUUUUUUUCUGUUCGUUUGUUUUCAUCUUUCUCGUUUGGCCAAAAAAGAGCUGCAGCCUUAUUCUUGUGGGAAUAAAAUUGUACAGUCCAUCAGAAACUGUCUCGAGCUGACUGCGGAAACUGGCUACCACCUAGCACCACAACCAUAGAGAUUAUUUCUUUCAUGAAAGAGAGUGAAAAAGCCAUUGUGUAUUUGUCUGUCAAACAAAACUGUCAUGUAGAAGUUGUGCUAUGAUGAAGAAUUAAUCUGGGGUCAUGUUUUUCCUCACUACAAGUUUUCUGGCCAGCAAAAUCUCGGGACAAGCCACUGGCCUGACUCUUAUUUUCUUAUAGACAUGGAGACCAGACUCCUUGUUUGCAGUCUGUGUGUAUGAGAGGUACCAUUUGUCCCCCAAAGCAUUGUUGGAUGUUAUUCCUCCUGCUUUAAAGGAACCAGGCAGGGUGCAGUGGCCCUCAAGCAUCAUGUAGUGUUUUAAAGUCUCUUUCUUUCUACUCCCUCCCACCCUCACCCCUGGCUCUAGGUGGAGGGGAGAAAGAAUAGCAGCAGCUUCUCACUGUCCAUGAUUCGCCUCCCUGUGUGUGAAAAUGUGUGUGUGUGUGCAUUUAUGUCUUAUGGAAUCGGACUGCCACAUAAAAAGCAGGAUACAGGACCUGAUGAUCUUGCUGUGGUAAAUCCUUUGUUCCAGUUCUGUUCUAUGCAUGUCUCCAUAUCCCUAAGUGUGUGCAAUAUGGCUGUCUUGUCAGUAUAUGAUGUCUGUUAGCAUACUUCCUGGACCUGGAUCUACAAAGAGGGGAAACAUGCUUGGUGCUGAAAGGAAUAAAGCAGGGUGAGUGUGGAAGGGUGGGUUGCAUUUCCUAAAAGAGGAUAAGAGGAUAGAAAAAUUGAAGUAAUUCCUCAAACAAAACAGUCUUGGAAAAGCUGGCUCAGGUACAGCAGCAAGACACCUUGUUUCUCAUUGACCUUGGCAGAAUUUCAUUAGCCCUUUAAUGUGAGCAAACUGACCUCAAAUGAUUUCUUCGUCAGUAGACACACAGCCAUGUACGCAGCUAUGGCUUAAGCAUAUUUUUGGACAUUAGAUCUUGUUUCAGAGUGAGAUAAGUGAGUCUUUGUAUAAAUGAUUCAUCCUUUCUGGUGAUUGUGAGUAAGAACUUACAUUAUCCAUGUUAUCUUUCCCCUACACUUUCUUUCCCUCAUACUAUCUCAUACCAUGUAGCUAUCCUGUUACAUUUUGUUCACAUUCAUUCUUUUUUGUGGAUGCUUCAGAAACUUGUACCAUAAAACUGGGGUUCUCUAUUGCUCUUCAACAGUAACUGUGUGUGGGAAUUAAAGAGCAUUAACACUAGCUGUCCUCCAUUUAUUAAAUCUAGUGUGUAGAUCCACUCCCGGAAUAUCUGGCCUCAGCAGCAAUAGCAGACAUGGAAACACUGGCUGUCUGGUCAACAUGAAAAUGAUCAGCAUCUGCAGAUAUUCCAGCUAUCCAUUCCUCAUUAAUCAAAGUUGCUCAGGACUUCUUGUGCACAACCUUUUAAGUGGAGAAACCCAGUUUGUGGUCCAGUGCUAUAGCAGAAGAGUAUGUUAUGAUUUAUGGGCCAGAUUCUGUUUCCAAUGGGCCUUCCAAUAGUCAAACAAAAUCUGAAGACUCCUCAUGGGAGAAGAGAAGUACUGCCAACACAAAAGUUCAAAAUUGCUGUACUGUUCUUUCUUUUUCUCUGCAUUCUUCUCUUGAGCCUUCAAGGCACAUCUGGUUCAUAUUUUCAAGCUUUUCUUCACAACCAUAAGGACUUAUUGUUUUAAAAUGAAAGCAGUGAUUCUCACAUGAUCAUGACUCCAGGAGCUGGAGUUUUAAGCAAAACAUCAAAUCUUCUGACACCUGCCAUAAAAUCCUGAGAGUUGGCAACACUAUAAUGUGAUUUCCUAAAAAACAACUUAGGAAAGUCCCAUUUGUAUAGUGGCUGUUCACAGAGCCUGACUCACCACAGCAUUAGGCCAGUGUGACUCUAUUGAUUUACACUGGUGUAAAACUGAGGUAACAUCGUG